rnacentral:tRNA from 1 species
GGAGAGGUGUCCGAGUGGUUGAAGGAACAUGUCUUGAAAACAUGCGUGUCGGAAACGAUACCGAGGGUUCGAAUCCCUCCCUCUCCGCCA